UUCACAAUCAGGGCAAUGGUGCUGUGGAA
rnacentral:piRNA from 1 species